ACUGCCUGAUGGAGGGGGAUAACUACUGGAAACGGUAGCUAAUACCGCAUAACGUCGCAAGACCAAAGAGGGGGACCUUCGGGCCUCUUGCCAUCAGAUGUGCCCAGAUGGGAUUAGCUAGUAGGUGGGGUAAUGGCUCACCUAGGCGACGAUCCCUAGCUGGUCUGAGAGGAUGACCAGCCACACUGGAACUGAGACACGGUCCAGACUCCUACGGGAGGCAGCAGUGGGGAAUAUUGCACAAUGGGCGCAAGCCUGAUGCAGCCAUGCCGCGUGUGUGAAGAAGGCCUUCGGGUUGUAAAGCACUUUCAGCGAGGAGGAAGGUGGUGAGCUUAAUACGCUCAUCAAUUGACGUUACUCGCAGAAGAAGCACCGGCUAACUCCGUGCCAGCAGCCGCGGUAAUACGGAGGGUGCAAGCGUUAAUCGGAAUUACU
rnacentral:rRNA from 1 species